rnacentral:rRNA from 1 species
UUUAAAUUGCUGUAGUAUUUUGACUAUACAAAGGUAUCGAACUAAGAUUUUAAUUGAAUGCUAAGAGAAUGGAAUCACAGAAAAUAGCUUUUUUUAAGUUAAAAAUUGAAAUUUUUUUAAUUUGUGCAGAAACAAUUAUUAAUAUUAAGGACAAGAAGACCCUAUGAAUUUAUGAAUUUAUAUUAAUAGUAAUUACUAUAAAAUAAAUUUUGCCUGGGGUGGCAAAAAAAUAUACAAAACUUUUUAUUAAUAAAACGAUCCAUUAUUAAUGAUUAAAUGUUAAAUACUCUAGGGAUAACAGCGUUAUAUUUUUUGAUAGAUCAUAUUGACAAAAAAGUUUGCGACCUCGAUGUUGGAUUAGGAUACUUUUUUAAUGAAGAUAUAAAAAAAGAAGU